rnacentral:rRNA from 1 species
AUAUUGUGCAAUAGGGGCAACCCUUAUCCAGCCAUGACGCGUGUGUGAAGAAGGUCUUCGGUUUGUAAAGCACUUUAAGUUGGGAGGAAGGGCUUUAGGUUAAUACCCUGAAGUUUUGACGUUACUAACAGAAUAAGCACCGUCUAACUCUGUGCCAGCAGCCGCGGUAAUACAGAGGGUGCAAGCGUUAAUCGGAAUUACUGGGCGUAAAGCGCGCGUAGGUGGUUCAGUAAGAUGGGUGUGAACUCCCCGGGCUUAACCUGGGAACUGCUUUCAUAACUGCUGAGCUAGAGUACGGUAGAGGGUAGUGGAAUUUCCUGUGUAGCGGUGAAAUGCGUAGAUAUAGGAAGGAACACCAGUGGCGAAGGCGACUACCUGGACUGAUACUGACACUGAGGUGCGAAAGCGUGGGGAGCAAAC